rnacentral:rRNA from 1 species
GAUGAACGCUGGCGGCGUGCUUAACACAUGCAAGUCGAACGGGAAACAUUUUAUUGAAGCUUCGGCAGAUUUAGCUUGUUUCCAGUGGCGGACGGGUGAGUAACGCGUGGGUAACCUGCCUCACACUGGGGGAUAACAGUCAGAAAUGACUGCUAAUACCGCAUACGCGCACAGUACCGCAUGGUACAGUGUGAAAAACUCCGGUGGUGUGAGAUGGAUCCGCGUCUGAUUAGCCAGUUGGCGGGGUAACGGCCCACCAAAGCGACGAUCAGUAGCCGACCUGAGAGGGUGACCGG